GCAGUAGCAGGCGUACUGUCUAGGGGAUGGCUGCUCCGCUUUUGCACCCUGCUCUAGGUGGAGGAGGUGGAUGUGGAGUAGGAGGUUGAAGAGGUGUUGACCGUGGCGGCGACGACGCAUUUUGGAUGUCUGCCCUAUCAACUUUUGAUGUUACUUUCUGCACCUACCAUGGUGACCACGGGUAACGUGGGAAUCAGGGUUCGAUUCCAGAGUGGGAGCCUGAGAUGUGGCUACCACAUCCAAGGAAUGCAGCAGGCGCACAAAUUACCCACUCCCGACACGGGGAGGUAGUGAC
rnacentral:rRNA from 1 species